rnacentral:rRNA from 1 species
CCUACGGGAGGCAGCAGUGGGGAAUAUUGCACAAUGGGGGAAACCCUGAUGCAGCAACGCCGCGUGAGUGAAGAAGUAUUUCGGUAUGUAAAGCUCUAUCAGCAGGGAAGAAAAAAGACGGUACCUGACUACGAAGCCCCGGCUAACUACGUGCCAGCAGCCGCGGUAAUACGUAGGGGGCAAGCGUUAUCCGGAUUUACUGGGUGUAAAGGGUGCGUAGGCGGGCUGUUAAGUCAGCGGUAAAAGCCCGGGGCUCAACCCCGGCGAGCCGUUGAAACUGGCUGUCUUGAGAUGUCGAGAGGUAU